UAAAAAAUGAUUCUCCGAGCAGCCGAGCCUAAAGAAGGUGAUCCAUGGCUCUCCUGCCGACAGGGUCGUCGAGGAAACGCGGCGGCCUCCCUUUGGAAAGGAGAAGGGCUGCUCUGCUU
rfam:Synergistes jonesii strain 78-1 contig_38, whole genome shotgun sequence.